GAUGAACGCUAGCGGGAGGCCUAACACAUGCAAGCCGAGCGGUAGAGUUUCUUCGGAAACUUGAGAGCGGCGCACGGGUGCGUAACACGUGUGCAACCUACCUUUAUCUGGGGGAUAGCCUUUCGAAAGGAAGAUUAAUACCCCAUAAUAUAAUGAUUGGCAUCAAUUAUUAUUGAAAACUCCGGUGGAUAGAGAUGGGCACGCGCAAGAUUAGAUAGUUGGUGAGGUAACGGCUCACCAAGUCAAUGAUCUUUAGGGGUCCUGAGAGGGAGAUCCCCCACACUGGUACUGAGACACGGACCAGACUCCUACGGGAGGCAGCAGUGAGGAAUAUUGAACAAUGGGUGAGAGCCUGAUCCAGCCAUCCCGCGUGAAGGAUGACGGUCCUAUGGAUUGUAAACUUCUUUUGUACAGGGAUAAACCUACCCUCGUGAGGGUAGCUGAAGGUACUGUACGAAUAAGCACCGGCUAACUCCGUG
rnacentral:rRNA from 1 species